GAUGAAGAACGUAGCGAAAUGCGAUAAGUAAUGCGAAUUGCAGAAUUCCAGUGAGUCAUCGAAUCUUUGAACGCACAUUGCGCCCUUUGGUAUUCCGAAGGGCAUGCCUGUUCGAGCGUCAUUAUCACCCCUCAAGCCCUCGGCUUGGUGUUGGACGGUUUGGUGGAGGCCCCCUCGGGGGCUCCUGCCCCUCCCAAAGACAAUGACGGCGGCCUCGUUGGACCCCCGGUACACUGAGUUCUUGACGGGACACGUAUCGGACACAUGGGUUUACGGGACACGGUCUGCCUCCCCUCAGGGAGAAUCUUUCUAAGGUUGACCUCGGAUCAGGUAGGGAUACCCGCUGAACUUAAGCAUAUCAAUAAGCGGAGGA
rnacentral:misc_RNA from 1 species